CCGGGGGCGGGGGGCUUUUCCUCAGCCUGGAUUGCGAGAGGGUGCAGGCCAGGCCGAGGGACCCCACUGGUGCACA
rnacentral:pre_miRNA from 1 species